AUCCCAUGAAGCUGGCAAAGCAAGAGUGAUCACUGGUCCCAUUCUAUGGAUGGCAAAACUGAGAGUCACAGAAGUUAAGUGCAUUGGCCCCAGAUCUCGCCAAUAUGUGAACCACAAAGAAAUGCAUCAGUCAUUUCGAUCUCUGAAAAUGAACGAAUGUCUGGCUGACGGCUCAGUUCUUCAUCUGAACGUGGAGUUAACGUGCCUGCGUGGUUGCAAAAGUCAUGUGCUUGCUGCUCGAAGGCAUCAGCCUCUAGAAUUAUUAUUUUUCCUCAUACUAUUGAGAUAAUGGUAAUUUUCCUGUCUAAAUGUAAAUUUAAAAUGGGCAUUUUCAUGCUCGUCUGGGAAAACAAGCUAAACGGGACUGUCCAUCUCACAUAA